rnacentral:tRNA from 1 species
UUCUUAUUAGCUCAAUGGCAGAGCACGAUACUUCUAAUAUUGUGACCUAAGUUCGACUCUUAGAUAAGAAA